UGCUCUUUUAGCCUGAACACCUUUGACAACAGCGACACAGAUCAUCACAGGUACACCGUGUUACUGGCGUCAAGUUGAGCUCCAGCAGAUGACAGCUCAGUGACAGACUCAUAAUGUCAGUCAACAGCACAUAUUACAGCCCGACAGCGAACAAGAGCGACAAAGAGUGUAGAAAUGAAGAGUAACGAGACUCACCUCAGUGAAGAUACACACGUGUGUCUGUUGUGUUUCUGCUGCAGAUCUUUGACCAGCGCUCAACAGCUGACGCUCCUCCACACACUCCUCCACAUCCAGGUGGAUUCACAGCUCCAGUAAAGCUCACACACAGGUCUGCAGUCAAACAUCAGUUCCAGCAGGUGUUCAGACAGGAGAUCUGUGGCUCUGUGGUAAGAGCGCUGCCCCACGGCUUCAGGGGUUGCUGGUAUGAUCCCAGCCAGAACUCUGCGAUAUGAGUGAAUGGUGAGUGAGUGUGAGGCGCGCCUGAAGAAGGGGGGAUACCAGUUCGGUCUCCCCCUGGAGCUUCCGGAGCCGUGUCCAGCAGGGGUUAUACUUUACAGCCUGACAAAAAUUUUAAAAUGAACUGUAUAAAAAUUCUGGACCUGCGUCCCUUCCCCACCCGUUUCGGUUACCAUCAUUUACUUUCUAGAGGAGUGACCCUCCACAAAGCAAAUGAUGGUAACCGACAUGUGGAACAGACACAUACACACACACACACACAAUCACACACAUGAUCUACAUCACCUGUGCAGCAGCAGAUGAUCAUCAUUACAGUCAGUGUUUGGCCACACGUCUCUGCUUCUGUUCAACAAGCUUACAGUCCUCAACACUUCACUGAUUCUGUAAAGUCGACACACAAAUACACACAUUAUUACACACAUUGCAUAUCUGAGCUAAUA